rnacentral:lncRNA from 1 species
GCCGCCGGGCGGUCGCCGCGCCCCAGGCCGCAACGGCCACUCGUGGGUCGCGCGUCUUCUGCGUCCCGGAAGCACCGUCCGGCUGCCCCAGCGAGGGGUGCGAGGGGUGCGGAGGGCCGGGAAGGUGGGCUCAAGAUUGCAAGGAGGAAAUUUCAAAUAUUCCACCCGUACACCCCCAACACACUCUGCUUCCCUAGUUGCCCAGAGGGAUAACCUCCCUCCCGGAUUUGGGGAAAGGGGUCGCCUAAACCUGCUUAAAAUGAGAAGCUUUUGACUUCCACCAGUUGGAGAGCAUUUGAAAUCCGAAAAGUCAACACGAUGGAGAAGUCCCGGGACAAGUGGGCCGAGGGACUGGGUACUGCGCGCAAAUCCUCUCGUCCAGAUCCGCUUUCGGGGAGAAGCAGCAGCAAUUCGGGGCUCACCUGCCAUGGCUCGGAUCAACUACUUUCACCGCCUACCUAAACGCUUUUCCACCCACAGAGCGUGGGGACCCGUACGCGAUCCUCCUUAAAUUCCAAUAGCCUCAACCCCAAUAAAAAGCCGCGACCCCGCGGCUAAAUCCUAAAAAACGCCACCCGUUCCUCCGACUCCAGCCUCUGACGUAACCCCGGGCCCUCAACUCCUACCUCCAGACCCCUGCUCUGGCCGGGGUGUAGAUUCGAUCCCUAGCUACUCAGCGGCCCUUCAAUCCCGCUUCUGAAAACAGCCUGGAUCAUAUAACCCAAACUCCAGCCGGGCUCUGAAGCCCAGUCUUAGAACUGAUGCACAACCACCACUCACC